rnacentral:rRNA from 1 species
UACGUAGGGACCGAGCGUUGUCCGGAAUCAUUGGGCGUAAAGAGCGUGUAGGCGGCCAGGUAGGUCAGCUGUGAAAACUCGAGGCUUAACCUCGAGAUGUCGGCUGAAACCAUCUGGCUAGAGUCCGGAAGAGGAGAGUGGAAUUCCUGGUGUAGCGGUGAAAUGCGCAGAUAUCAGGAAGAACACCCGUGGCGAAGGCGGCUCUCUGGUACGUGACUGACGCUGAGACGCGAAAGCGUGGGGAGCAAACAGG